rnacentral:rRNA from 1 species
GUGUCAGCAGCCGCGGUAAUACGUAGGGCGCAAGCGUUGUCCGGAAUUAUUGGGCGUAAAGGGCUCGUAGGCGGUUGGUCACGUCUGCUGUGAAAACGCGAGGCUUAACCUCGCGCCUGCAGUGGGUACGGGCUGACUAGAGUGUGGUAGGGGAGACUGGAAUUCCUGGUGUAGCGGUGGAAUGCGCAGAUAUCAGGAGGAACACCGAUGGCGAAGGCAGGUCUCUGGGCCACUACUGACGCUGAGGAGCGAAAGCAUGGGUAGCGAACAGGAUUAGAUACCCUGGUAGUCCAUGCCGUAAACGGUGGGCACUAGGUGUGGGGUCCGUUUCCACGGGUUCCGCGCCGUAGCUAACGCAUUAAGUGCCCCGCCUGGGGAGUACGGCCGCAAGGCUAAA